CCACCCAUAGCUUAACAGCAGAGCAGCCGACUGAUAAUCGGCAGACCUUGGUGCGACUCCAGGUGGGUGGACCA
rnacentral:tRNA from 1 species